GAGAGAUGCUCCUUCCUCCGCACCAAGGAGACCUGAGGGCAACGCCAGAGCCUCGACAUUGAAACAUUUCAGAAGGCAAGGUUCAUGUCUCUGACUUCAGCCAAGACUGAGUGAUCUGUGAGGGAGAACAACAGAAAUGGAGAAGAGGAUUUAUCCUGAGGAGCAAUGAGGAAAACAGUGGGAGACAUACAGAUGAACUGGAACCACUGGGGAGCUGAAGAAAACAGAGUGAGACUGUGGGGUUCCCUGAGUGCUCCCCUUCCUCUCGCUGGCUUUGUGCUGUAAGAGGAGAUGUCACCCUCUGGUCUGAGCUGACACUGUGCUGAGCAGUGGCUUUGAAAAUGCAGGUCCAGCAAGAGCCCGAGGAAGUCCAGCCUUUGAUCAGCCACACGGCAGCAUAGGUGAUGUGUCAUCACAGAGUCAGGGACUGCACUUUU